rnacentral:rRNA from 1 species
UACGGAGGGUGCAAGCGUUAUUCGGAAUUACUGGGCGUAAAGCGCGUGUAGGCGGGUAGGUAAGUCUGAUGGGAAAGCCCUGGGCUCAACCUGGGAAGUGCAUUGGAUAAUGCUUUUCUUGAGUUCUGGAGAGGAUGGGGGAAUUUCCGGUGUAGAGGUGAAAUUCGUAGAGAUCGGGAGGAAUAUCAGUGGAGAAGGCGCCCAUAUGGACGGCAAAUGACGCUGUGACGCGAAAGCGUGGGGAGCAAACAGG